rnacentral:misc_RNA from 1 species
GAUGAAGAACGUAGCGAAAUGCGAUACUUGGUGUGAAUUGCAGAAUCCCGUGAACCAUCGAGUCUUUGAACGCAAGUUGCGCCCGAAGCCAUUAGGCCGAGGGCACGCCUGCCUGGGCGUCACACGUCGUUGCCCCCCCAUCUACUCCUUCGGGAUUGCGGGGGGCGGAUGAUGGCCUCCCGUGCGCCUCGUCGCGCGGUUGGCCUAAAUGCCAAGUCCUCGGCGACGCACGCCACGACAAUCGGUGGUUGCGAAACCUCGGUUGCCUGUCGUGUGCGGUCGUCGCGCAUCGAGGGCUCGAAAAAAUUGCCGGGCUUCGGCUCGACUUUCAACGCAACCCCAGGUCAGGCGGGGUUACCCGCUGAAUUUAAGCAUAUCAAUAAGCGGAGGA